rnacentral:tRNA from 1 species
GCUGGAGUAGCUCAGAUGGUAGAGCACUUGAUUCGUAAUCAUGGGGUCGGAGGUUCGAUUCCUCUCUCCAGCACCA